rnacentral:rRNA from 1 species
CAGUCGCCGCGGGAAUACGGAGGGUGCAAGCGUUAUCCGGAUUUAUUGGGUUUAAAGGGUCCGUAGGCGGAUCUGUAAGUCAGUGGUGAAAUCUCACAGCUUAACUGUGAAACUGCCAUUGAUACUGCAGGUCUUGAGUAAAUUUGAAGUGGCUGGAAUAAGUAGUGUAGCGGUGAAAUGCAUAGAUAUUACUUAGAACACCAAUUGCGAAGGCAGGUCACUAAGAUUUAACUGACGCUGAUGGACGAAAGCGUGGGGAGCGAACAGGAUUAGAUACCCCCGUAGUCCCUGUCUCUUAUAA